rnacentral:rRNA from 1 species
GACGAACGCUGGCGGCGUGCCUAAUACAUGCAAGUCGAGCGAUAUCUUUGGGGGCUUGCCCCCAAGGGUGUAGCGGCGGACGGGUGAGUAACACGUGGGCAACCUGCCUGUAAGACUGGGAUAACUUCGGGAAACCGGAGCUAAUACCGGAUAAUCCUUUUCCUCACAUGUGGAAAAGCUGAAAGAUGGUUUCGGCUAUCACUUACAGAUGGGCCCGCGGCGCAUUAGCUAGUUGGUGAGGUAAUGGCUCACCAAGGCAACGAUGCGUAGCCGACCUGAGAGGGUGAUCGGCCACACUGGGGACUGAGACACGGCCCAGACUCCUACGGGAGGCAGCAGUAGGGAAUCUUCCGCAAUGGACGAAAGUCUGACGGAGCAACGCCGCGUGAGUGAUGAAGGUUUUCGGAUCGUAAAACUCUGUUGUUAGGGAAGAACAAGUACCGGAGUAACUGCCGGUACCUUGACGGUACCUAACCAGAAAGCCACGGCUAACUACGUGCCAGCAGCCGC